GCUCGGCGUAGACGAAUCGGUAGAGUCACGGCCGAGGAAGAUUGCCAGAAGUGGCAAGACAGCCGGGAAAACAUUGCGUGCAGGUUCGAAUCCUGCCGCCGAGCG
rnacentral:tRNA from 1 species